GGGGCUGACAAAGCUUAGACAGAUUGUUAACAGAUUUGAUGCGUGUCGAUUAAAUACCGUAAGUAUUGAAUAAGUGCUAAAAACACUAAAGCUCAGCAUGUUGCAUACAUGCCAGCUUAUGCUUAAGAUUUUUUAAGCUGGUCUUCGCUCAAGAUUCCGUAGAGCGCGGAUUAUCAUACAACGGGAUUAAGGCUAUUUAAGCGGCGAGAGAUAGUUCGAAAACUAGCCAUGGCUUUUAUCAGUUUCGUUUUCUGCAGCUGAUAGAGAUUGCCAAGAUAAAACAGAAAACUAUGCACGUAGAUUCAAGUCCCAGUGACAGUUUGGACGGGGAGGCAGUAUCCCCCAGCUCCACCA
rnacentral:tmRNA from 1 species